GGUUGCUUAAACCAAAAAAUAAAUAUCCAGAGCCAUCUUUAUGCAUAAUACAUGUACAAGCUGUUUGCAGCGGCGCAGGCGAUUGUAUUUUCAGUUGGGUGCCAUGCAAGAUGGAGCAGCUUGGUUGUGAAAUCAUAUGAGUUUCCAUUUGCGUCGACUCCUUGAUUUUCUGCUCCCCGCCUAACAACACGGGUUAAACUGCUAAGAGAUCGUGCUGGCCUCGCUGGAGCUUGGACUUGUCUC
rnacentral:misc_RNA from 1 species